UUCAACUUUCCCUUACUAUUCUUUUGACCGGGAAUGCGCCAGGAGCACAAGCAAAUCCCUCUUCAGAAGCCGUCGUCGGAAGUCCUAUCUCCGACGAAAACUCCAGCGAACUCGCCGGAUGUCUGCCACUGUGCGCCGACUUCAUAUCACUCUCAAGGUCUCUAGCUCUUUCUCACUCUACCUUUCUCUCUCAACUUCACAAAACCUACUUGUGCAUUCUCUCUCUGUUCCUCAACAGACCCUAGAGACUUCCGAAUUUCAUCAAUCUUCUUACUACAGGAGCUCAAAUUCUCUUUCUUUUGAUUCCAAAUUUGAUUUUCUUGAGCAAUUUUCACCCUUCAAGAAAUUUUCUAACGCUUCAAGCACUGUUAUUAAUUCGAAUGAGAGGCGUAAAAUUGCUUCUGGUAUAGCAAAAAUGAUCAAACAAGAAAAGGGUUAUCUCUUACAGAAACUGGCCAAUAAUUUCUGCCCUCAUAUACUUGUAGAAAUCAUGAAAAUGCUUGAGAAACGGCAGGUGGCGUUUUCGUUUUUCAAAUUUCUAGUUCAGGAUAAUUUGGAAAGUGUGAUCUGGGGAAGUUGCAUUGCUGCACAUUUGUUGGCAGCUGAGGACUUGAGGUUUCUAGCACAAGAUGUGCUUACAUGGGUGAUUAGGAGAACAGGGGAGGAUAGGAGUAAUGAUGUGGUGGAGUUUAUGUGGAGAGAACAUUUUAAGUAUGAGUCAGAUUUUUCAGUUCUUGAUUCAUUAAUGCGUUCGUUCACAAAUGCAGAGAUGGGAUCACGAGCAUUAGAUGUAUUGGGAAGGAUGAGGGAGACUGGUAGUUGGCCAAGUUUAUCAGCGAUUAGCACUCUUUUAAAGCUGUUGAUAAGGGUUGGUGAUUAUGGUAGUGUCUGGAAGUUGUUCAGGGAUAUGGUUAAAAGAGGACCCCGUCCUUCAGUUUUUGUUUAUAAUGUCAUGAUCCUCGGUUUCUGUAGAAGAGGAUGUGUUAGGAUUGGAGAAAGUUUGUUGCAUGUAAUGAAGAAAUUUAGAUGCGAACCAGAUGUUUAUGCAUAUAACAUUUUGAUCAAUGCAUAUUGUGUUAGGGGGUGGACUUCAGAUGCUCUAAGUUGGGUGUGGUUGAUGGUUGAAAGUGGUUGCCAGCCAAGCACUGUUACAUUUGGGACGGUCAUCAAUGCCUUCUGCAAGGAGGGUAACAUUGUGGAAGCAAGAAAUAUCUUCGACGGAAUGCAAGAGAUGGGUGUGUUGCCAAACACCGUAUUGUACAAUGCUUUGAUGAAUGGCUAUGUGAAGGCGAGAGAAGUCAAUCAGGCAAAUAUGCUUUAUGAAGACAUGAGAAGCAAGGGUGUGGCACCUGAUAGUAUAACUAUGAACAUUUUAGUUGCUGGGCAUUAUAAGUAUGGAAUGAAAGAGGAUGGUAACAAAAUUUUGAGGGAUUUAUCCUGUAAUGAGUUGAUUCCAGAUUGUUCGCUAUCUGAUAUAUCUAUAUCGGGGUUAUGUUGGUCUGGAAGAUUAGAGGAAGCCUUGGAAUUAUUAGAAAAUAUGCUUGAGAAAGGGAUACCUCUUAGUGUAGUUGCAUUUAACUCCAUUAUUACUGCAUACAGUGAAGCAGGUUUAGAAGACAAAGUUUUUGAAGUUUAUAACAUAAUGAUAAAAUUUGGUCUAACUCCUUCAGCUUCCACAUGUACUUCACUGCUCGUAGGUUUGUCUAAAGCAGGGAGGCACCAAGAAGCUAUGGAUCUCAUGAUUAAGAUGAUCAAGAAGGGUUAUCCUAUCAAUAAAGUGGCUUUCACUGUUGUUCUGGAUGGAUACUUUAAGAAAGGGGACAUGGUGGGAGCUCAGAUUGUGUGGGAAGAGAUGGAAAUAAUUGGAAUGGCUCCUGAUGCUGUUGCUUUUUCUGCCUUCAUUGAUGGACUUUGUAAAGCUGGCUUCGUUGAAGAGGCAUAUGAUGUUUUUUUGAAAAUGACAAGGAAAGGACUUGUCCCUAACAACUUUGCUUAUAAUUCUUUAAUUUCUGGUUUUUGUAACUCUGGAAAAAUAAAUGAAGCAUUGAAGUUGGAGAGGGAGAUGAGGCAGAGGGGUUUGCUUCCAGAUGUCUUCACCAUUAAUAUUAUCAUCAAUGGGUUCUGUAAACAGGGAAGAAUGAAGUCGGCUAUAGAUACUUACAUGGAAAUGCAUAAACAUGGGUUAACUGCAGAUAUUGUGACUUACAACACUUUGAUAAGCGGAUACUGCAAGGCAUUUGACCUGAUAAAUGCUGACAAUUUUGUAAACAGAAUGCACACUAGUGGGUGGGACCCAGAUAUUACAACAUAUAACAUACGACUUCAUGGUCUCUGCAGUAGUCGGAAAAUGAAUCUAGCUGUUAUGAUGUUUGAUGAUCUCAUUUCUGCUGGCAUGGUUCCGAAUACAGUAACAUACAACACUCUGAUGAAUGGUGUUUGUAAUGACAUACUUGACCGUGCAAUGAUUUUGACAGCUAAAUUGCUUAAGAUGGGAUUUGUUCCAAAUACGGUUACAACCAACUUACUGCUGUCUCAUCUAAUCAAACAAGGGUUGCCUCAGAGGGCUAUGAUGUGGGGCCAGAAGUUGAGUGAGAUCUCCUUUAACUUUGAUGAAGUAACAUACAAGAUACUGGACAGAGCGUAUAAUGAUUUACAAGUUGAUGCUGAAUAUACUCAACAAAUAACAGGAAAAAGUCUCUUCAUAGACUUUCUCAUGUACAUGACCUAUGACUAUAUACAUAGAAAUAGAUUUAACCAUAGCAUUAGAUUUAAUUCUCUUGAGUUGAUUGAUGGUGGAUUGAAUGCGCCUUUUGAGGUGAUCAACAGAUAAGUUUAAACUGAACGGGAAUAAGAUACAAGACUCGCGAGAAAUUGUUAUGUGGAUCAGGAAUGAGAGUAUAUGGAUUCCUGGAUGUGUCUUCCAUAGGUUUUGGAACAAUGGGGUGGGAACUCAUCAUUCAAGGAGCCCUCCAGGCAGACCCAUGCUUGAAUUUAGAAAUGGAAAUGAAAUGGGAGUGCGUGACCAUACUGGUAUCAUAACCUUUGGAAGGUAUUUUCCAUUUUAGUAUAUUUUGCACUGCAAAUUUCUUGAAAUUUAUUGAAUAAUGACUGAACUCUUGACUGCAAAGCUGAUUCAACACCUGUAUUUACUAUUAGGAUAGCAUAAACCAUUACUUCACAGCUAUCAUUGUUGUAGUUUUGGCUGCUACCAUUAUAUACACAUCAUAGUUUACAUCGCACUAUAUUUUAAUCAUUGACGAAUGAAAUUAGGCUGAGUUUUCUGAGAUUGGCUUAUAACUAAUUCUUCCUGUGAAUAUUUCUUAAUAAAUUGAAAUUUAAAGAGUUGUUAUUAUCCAUAAUUUGUGAUUUGAAUGUGGCUACAGAGUUGUGUAACAAAUAUAUAGGUGCGGGUUGUUAUAAUUACUUAACUGGAAAUCAACUUUUAGGGUUUCAUAUUACGACUUCUAGAUUUUUGCACCAUUAAUGAGAAUGCUUUCGAAAUCUAAUAAACAGAAUAAGCAGGACUCUGCUAUUAACCUAAAUGCAUCAAAAGUAAUUUAUAAUUGGGAAAAGGAAGGGGAAAUUUUCUAGUGGUGGUGAAUUUUUCGUCUUGAAUCUCAUUUCAGCUAGCUUACGUCGUCUGCUCAGAUUAUGUUCAAUAUGUAGUUAACCUAGCAAAUCCUGUCAUUCCACUGCUUAUCAGCUUCCACAUAGGGAUAUAUCUUGUCAAAUUUUGAGUGGAAGAGACUGUCACAAUAGCUGAAAUAGGUCCAAAAUAUCCUUUUAAGUAUUUAUAAUGGCCUAGGUUUGGGUAAAAGUUCUGUUGAGUCAGUAAAUGUGUUCUGUCUUUUNNNNNNNNACGUUGUUAAACAUCAUGAUUUAAAAUCCCAUCACCGUCAUUGUGUUCAUAUAUUUUAUUUAUACAUUUUUCCUAGAUUUUAUAUUUAGUGUUCACUAAAUUUUUUAUAUUUAGUGUUCACUAAAUUUUUGUUUUGGUAUUGGCGAAAUUCUUCUGAAUGAUGAGUUUUGAGUUUUGGUAGUUAUAGCGACUUUCUUUCUUCCUAGUACAUGUUCUUGAUUUUAUUCAAAUUUAUUUAUCAUUCUAGAACCCACAGAGUUUCAUGAAGAAUUAAUCUUCUUGUACAAUUGUUGUUGACAAUAAUGAAUGACAACAUUGAUGUUGUCAAAAUCCGGUCCAUUAAUUUUAAAAUCAGUUUUUGAAAUGGAUGUAUGUGAUGUUGACAAGUAUGAUUGUCAACCAAUAUUGUAAGAAAUUAUUGUACAAGUAGCAUAACUCUUUGAUGAAUGGGUAAUAACUUUCUUAUUGUUAGUUCUGUAACAUCUUACUGUUUGGCUGCUUGUUGGUUUUCUCGUAAGGAAGGUUUAUUCAUUUUUGCUUAUUUCUUUCCUGAGAAUAAAGCUCUGAAAGCAUGAGUAUUGUUCCUUAUAUGUAUUUAGACUACGGAUGCUCGUUUUGGGAAGUUCUCCCGAACUGGAUCAAGUAGGCAAAAUAUUCCCAAUAUCCGGCUAUUGAAGAAAUGUUCACCCCGCACAAGAAGCCUUAUAAUUGUAGGUCAGUAUUUUCUCUCAAGAUAAUCAGAUUUAAUCUUAACUAUUUGCGUCCCACGUGUUAUGUACUUUUUCUCUAGAAAAUAAUGAGCUCACCCACAGAUAUUAGUAUGAAACGUGCUUUUUAUGUUGAGAUGAAUAAGCUUUUACUAAGCGAUUAUUGUUCAAAUGUCCAUCAAAUUUUUCUAAAAACUUGUCCAGAAACUUCAUAAUUAUUUAAAAUACGUAUUUUCCUCUUCAACAAUCAUUUAUUUCUAAAACUCUUCCUGAUAUUCAAGAAUGAAAUAUUAGUACACGAGUUCCUUGUCACCCUUUUACAAAUUUGGUUUAUAGGGUUUCUAUUUCAUGGAGAAUCAGUUGGGGGUGAAAAACAGAUGUGCAAUUAAGAUUGAAAAAUCCAAACUCAAUAUCUGGGAGUUCCCAUCAAAAAACGGGUAUGUUCUUCUUCACUAACUGUUUUAAGGGCAAGUUUGUAAUUUCCAGAUGCUUUAAUUAGCCUCUGAGUGAAUUUUUUUCGACUUACAUUGCUAAAUAAUUGAUGGCAAUGUCUUAGGCAGUGCCAGAUGAUUCGGCGAAUGGUUAAUGAAGAUUAUUGCAAUAAAAUUGCAAGCUAAAGUGGCAGCCAUCUGCAACACAGUUUUACAGAAAGUUGUUGAAGCUCAAUAGCCAAUUACACAGUAAUUAUUUAAUGAGGUUAGAUUUGGUAUGGGAAUUUGUGUAUGCAAUUUUACCCAAAAUUGUUGCAGCUUAUUUUUUAUUUUAUUUUUCAUUUUUCUGGAUUAAAGUCUACUUUGAAUUUGGGAUAUCCACACUUCAUGAUAGAGUUCAAAUUUUUUAUACCUUUUCUUCCCCUUUUUUUAAUAAAUCACUCUAAUAAUAGUCUCUGGCUUUUGAUCUAACUGAGACAAGGAUUUCUGUUGUGAUUCAAUAACAUCUGAG
rnacentral:lncRNA from 1 species